AUUGAACGCUGGCGGCAGGCCUAACACAUGCAAGUCGAGCGGAGCGGCGGACGGGGGAGUAAUGCCUAGGAAUCUGCCUGGGAGUGGGGGAUAGCGUCCGGAAACGGACGCUAAUACCGCAUACUCUCAGAUGAGCCUAGGUCGGAUUAGCUAGUUGGUGGGGGAAAGGCCUACCAAGGCGACGAUCCGGAACUGGUCUGAGAGGAUGAUCAGUCACACUGGAACUGAGACACGGUCCAGACUCCUACGGGAGGCAGCAGUGGGGAAUAUUGGAAAAUGGGCGAAAGCCUGAUCCAGCCAUGCCGCGUGUGUGAAGAAGGUCUUCGGAUUGUAAAGCACUUUAAGUUGGGAGGCGUUACCAACAGAAUAAGCACCGGCUAACUCCGUGCCAGCAGCCGCGGUAAUUC
rnacentral:rRNA from 1 species